rnacentral:snRNA from 1 species
UAGUCUAUCACCAUCAAGGGCAAU